rnacentral:lncRNA from 1 species
CAUAAUGAGCCUUUCAUGCUCUUCUUUUUCUCUUUCUUUUAACUCCGCGUUCAAAUUAGAGAGCUCUUUUGCGGGUUGCAGUAAGGGUUUGUGAUCUUUUCAGAUCAUUCAGUUUUAUCAAAUUUCAGAGGUGCUAUCUCUCGCUCUAUCUAUGUGCUUUUGUUUGAUGACGUCUAUUUUUUAUUUUUUUCCCUCAAGAUUUUCCGUUGAUCGAUGAAUUGGUUCUAUCUAUGUGCUUUUGUUUGAUGACGUCUAUUUUUCAUUUUCUUCCCCUCAAGAUUUUCCUUUGAUCGAUGAAUUGGCUCUAUCUAUGUGCUUUGUUUGAUGACGUCUAUUUUUCAUUUUUUCCCCUCAAGAUUUUCCGUUGAUCGAUGAAUUGGCUCUAUCUAUGUGCUUUUGUUUGAUGGCGUCUAUAUUUCAUCUUUCCCCCUCAAGAUUUUCCGUUGAUCAAUGAAUUGAAGAAAGAUCUAGAUUAUCGUUUUUAAGCUUGUAAACCAUGGAUCUUUAAGUUGAUAAGUAGGGUUUGUCUUCGAACGAGCUGUUUGUAUGAUGAUGUAUAUCGUGAUUAUUAAUCCUUUGCAUGAUUAAAUCAUUUAAUUUUUUUUAAAAAAAAGCCGAGAAAAUUGUAUAUAGUUCCCGUAGUUCACGGUGUUCUUUUUUUUUUUCCGUAUAGUUAUCUUCUCUUUUUUUUUUAAUGUUUAGGAAAUUCUCGCUUCAAAUUUUUAUUUUUCUUUCAAGGUGGAGACAAGAUUCUAUCUUGAUUAUGUAAUCCUGCAGGGGGCAGUUUUAGAAUUUUUAAUAUCACGUGGAUUAAUGUUUUAGUUGAUUUAAUAUUCUUAUGUAAUUCCAUCUACUUCAGAUUGCAAUAAUUGCAGUUGUAUUGAUGCUUUUAUUGGUUGAUGAGAAACGUGAGAUAUGGGAUCUGCCCUUCGUUCUCCUUUCUUGCUCCCAAGACUUGAACUUUCUUGUUUCAGAUUAUAGAACUUGAUUUAUCUAUCUUUUGGAGUGACAUCUAUAGCAUAAUGGCAGCAUUCCUGAUUUUUUAUAGCCAAUUUAGAUUCUAGAGACAGAGAAGUUAAAAAAAUUCAUGCAUUACCCUGUUGUUCUUUAUCAAAUUAGGGGAUUUUUCCUUUUAUCAAUAGGUGAAUGUUAGAUAAUUUUCUUCUGAUUCAUCUAAAGUUCAAAUGAAUCUUUUCCUCAAGAAUCUGAAAUAACUUUGUGUAUCUCUGUGCGAUUAUUAUUCCCUUUUUCUUUGAGAUCUUGGUGUGAUUGAUCGUGGUAGGAUUUGAGUGGCGGUCUUUUAUUACACUGCUUUAUCUUCUUUGUGAAGUUAUAAUAUGAUUAGUUAUAGUAGGUUUUUUUUCUGGAUUUUACUGUUGUGCCCUUAACUUCAGAUGUCAUAUUCCUUUUUACAUCAAUCAUUAAAUAUAACCAUUCAACUAUAUUAACAGGAGCUAGUUGCAUUAAAUAUAAUCAUUUAACUGUAUCUAACAGAUCUAUUGGUGAAUGAUAUUUCAAAAAAGAUCUAUUGGUGAAUGAAUAUUUGGAUGCUGUGCUCUCAUGGAUAUGUCAGGAGCCUUAGACAUAAAACCUGACUCGAGUGUGUUGUGUGUUGUGAAGAAGAAAGUAGGGUCGAUAGGAUGAAGAAUAGAGGAAGAAUAGAGAUGCAGAAGGAGAGAAGAAAUGAGAGAAUAGGGUGAGGAAAUUCACCGAUGAUUUGAAAAUUUCUCAUUAGAUUUUUGAUACAUGUUCCUGAUAUACAUACUAGUACAUCCUUAUUUCUGCCACUAGCUGCUGACGGCUCAGUACAAUAAUAGAUUUCCAUAGGGUGAGGAAAUUCACCGAUGAUUCAAUAAUUUCUCAUUAGAUUUUUGAUAAUGGUUCCUGAUAUACAUACUAGUAUUUCCUUAUUUCUAUCACUAGCUGCUGACGGCUCAGUACAAUAAUAGAAAGGAAAUCCAUAACAAACUAACAGAACUGCAAUGCCAAAUGCAAUAGUAGAAAGGAAAUCCACAACAAACUAACAGGAUUGCAAUAACCAGAAAGAAAAUACUACCAGCUGUGUCAAGUACACCUAACCUGUCAGUCUGUCAAUUCAGUUAGCCAUUUCAGCCUUAGCUUUCGUUUAGUCAAUCAAUAGUCGUUUGCUGUUAUUUUCCUUUUUUUUUUAAUGCACGUCACCUUCACCUUGCCCUAAGUUAGUCCUUACUCCUCCACCCCCCCUUGUGAAACUUCCUUGUCCUCAAGGAAGAACUCAGGAAGUUGAUGGGUAGGAUAUGUCUUAUCUUCUCAGGUGGAGUCUUCUGUGGGCAUUCCCUUUCAAUGGACGAAAACCUACUUAAUAGUUCUUUCCUUGUUGAAAAUCCUCUCUUGCAGCACCUGAAGUGGUUCAAUUAUAAUUCUCCUUUGCUGAUUUGUUUUUGACACCUGGAUGAUUCCUUUUGAGUUUUAACAUGUGAAAGAUCGGGUAAAUGCGAGUAGCUUUCAGGCAACUUAAGUUUGUAUGCUGCAAGGCCAGUUUUCUGUUCAACUGUGGAGGGCCCAAAGAAUUUGGCAGCUAGCUUCAAAUGCUUGCAUUGAGCCACAGAAUUCUGCUUAUAGGGCUGCUUCAAACUCUCACUUGGUUCUAUUCUUAUCAGCAAACUGUUUAACCGGGUUAUGGGCCUCUAAAGCUAUUGCCUUAACAACCUACUCAUCAUCUGCCGCUCACCCAUAAAUUACUCCAAUUACGUUGACAGUGUGUCUAUCUCUAGGGUGUCCAUACAAUUAGGAGAAUGAAAACCUGUAGAGUGAAAAGGACUUAUUUCAAGGCUAGGAUGGUGGGUGUACUGCCUUUCAGCCAAACUAAGCCAUUUUCUUCAUUGUUUUGGGUUCCUAUGAGUCAUGCAUCUCAAGUAAGUUUCCUGACAUUGAUUUACUCUUUCUGUUUGGUCACCCGUUUUUGUAUGGUAAGCAGAGCUCAAAUGUAGGAUGCUCCCCAUCAGCUUCAUGAUCUCUUGUCAAAAAAGACUAGUAAAUAUUGCCAGUAUUGGUUACUGUGAUCUUAAGAGUGUGUAAUUUGUGCACAUUAUGCACAAAGACUUGAGCUACCUCGAGGGCGGUAUCAAUGAAGUGGUCAUAUUUGCUGAAUCUGUCAACCACCACCAAAAAAAGUUUCCUUAUUCGCUGACCUCGGUAGUUGCUCAAGAAAGUUAAUCAGAAUAUGCUUUCAAACUUGUUCGGAAAAGGGUAGAGGCUGUAGUAAUCCAGGUAGUGGCACUUUUCUGUUUUGCAGCACUGACAUGUGUCACGACAACAUGUAUAUCCCACUACAUCCUCCUUUGUGCCAGGCCAAAAGAAGUGCUGCUUCAUUAUCUGGUUUAUGUUGCCCUUAUUCCCAAAUGGCUGCCUAGAACAGAAUCAUGACAAGCUUGAAUGAUUUUAUGCCACAUUUCUGGUUGUCUUCCUACUAAGAUUUAUGCCCUUGUAAUGCAGGAUUUCUCUUGUUAACUGAUAAGGAAGUUUGAUAUUUUGUUGAUCAUCAGUUAUUGGACCAAUGCUGAGAGUUUUAAAUCCCCUUUGUAACUAUUUUCCACCUCCAAUGACCAAAUAGGUUCUACCGUUAUCAUAACAGUAUUGAUCUCUCCACCAGCAGCCUGCUCAACUUAAUCAGUUCUAGAAAUUGCUUUAUGUUCUCUUAUUGAUAAUGCAUUUCCCAACUUAGUGUCCGCUCCUGUUUUUUAUCGGAUUGUAUAGUCCAACCCAAGUAGCUUCACCUUAUCCUGGGCUGUCUGUAUGGUUUGAUAGACCUCUGUCAUAAGGUCCUUGAGGUUUUUGGUGAAAACUGCACGUUGCUUCUUCCAGCUGCUGCAAUCAUUGGUGGUCAGUCAUGGCAGCCUUUCCUGUGGUCCUCACUAUCACUAUUCGGAUGUCACUAGACUAUAUAUCUAUUUAAUUGUAAUAUUUGUUGCCUUAUUUGUCAAUAUUAUUGCUGUAAAUAGUUAGUUUAUUUAUAGGCAUAGGUAGAGCUAAAAUAGUUGAUUUAGUAAAUUAAGCAUAAUCAACUUAAUUAGAGGCAUGUAUUCAGAAAAUCCUUUUCUAUUUAAUAGAGAAAAUACUCCCAAAAAGGGGCAUUCAGUGCAAACAACACAGUAGUCAGUGAAGAGGAAGAAAAAUAGGGUCGAUAAAAUGAAGAAUAGAGGUGCAGAAGGACAGAACAAAUGAGAGACUAGGAUGAGAUGUACUGAUGAUUCAGUGGUUUCUCAUUAGAUUUUCGAUAAAUUUUAUUGAUCUGUACUGUAGCUGUACAUCCCUAUUUUAUUGAUUCAUUCUGUACCAUUACAUCCCUAAUUCUACCACUAGCUACUGAUGACUUAUUGCAAUAACAGAAAGGAAAUCCACAACAAACUAAUAGAAUUGUAAUGCCAGCUGGCAGAAUAAAAAUACUAGUAGCUGUUUCAAAUAUGUUUCCCCAUUUAGCCUUAGCUCUCGUCCAAUAAACCAACAGUGGUUUGCUGGUAUUUUUCCCAUUUUCUUUCUGUGUGCCACCUUGCUCUUGCCCUAACUCAGUCCGUACAGGAUACUGUUGAUCUGAUGGUACUAAAUAUAAUCUUUUAACUGUAUUUAACAGAAUUAUGCUAUGAAUGAGUAUUAUGAUACCAUGUCCUUGGGCGUGCUGUAGUUGAAUCUUUUUCUUUUGGUAUUUUGUGUUUUCCUUUUAGAAGUGAUAACCUUCAAUAGAUAAAUAAAUGUAUGUAUUUUUCCUCUUUGUCUCUCUCUCUCUCAAAAAAAAGGGCAAAUAUCUGUGCGAUGGGGGAACUAUGUUUGCAGUUUAUAUGCAUAGAAAAUGCUUGAUGAUGUUUUUUACUUGGAGGGCGCGGAUGUUAGGGGUACUAAUGUGAGAGUUUCUUUUUCAGUAUCUUGCUGCCUUAGUGGUAGGCUACUUCCCUGUGUAUGAUAAAUAAGUUGCACGUUAGCCCAUAAUGCAUAUUCACAUUCUUCUGGUUGUCCUUAUUCAUAUUUUCUUCCGCAUCCAUAUCUAGUGUUUUUGGUAAUAUUCUGUUUUAUAUGGUUAACACAAGUUUAUGUUGAGAUGGACUUCAUUUUUUUUUUCAAAGGUUAGAGAUCCCAGAAAAUGCAGAGAAGAAGGGGUGGCAGGGAUCCAUUUUUUUAUUUUCAUGACCCUUUUGCUGUUUUUGGGGGAAUUGGUUGCUUUGUUGGCAUUGGGGGCUCUAGGGAUCCCAGAGUUUGUUGUCUAGUUUUUUGGGGGGAAGGGAUCCAUUUGAUGACACUUCCUUCAGAAACCUUUUUGGAGACAUGCAUGAAUCAAGCUUCUUCGGUCUAAGUGGUAGUCUUUUGCCGAUUGACUUUCUUUUUAUCAUUAUCUUCUUGUUCCUUCUCAUCAUCAGAGUCAAGUUCUUCAAUAAUUUGCCCGGUCGAUCUUUUUUAUGGUAGCUGGCCCUUAGAUUGAUUUUAGAGUAGAUGCAUCAAGCAAGUCGUCAAUCACGGAAACAGGAAAUUUGACUUUGGCUGUAAUGGCGUUCAAUUUUCUGUAAUCAAUAGAAAAAUGCCACGAGCCAUCUUUCUUUUAACCAACAGUACAGGAGAUGUGAACAGAUCAUGGCUUGGCUAAAUUAUUGAAUCGUCUAGUAUCUUCUUGACUUGCUGUUCUAUCUCCAUAUUUUGGAAACGAGGGUACUUGUAGGGCCUUAAGUUGAUUAGUGAAGUUCCCAUUUCCGAAGGAAUAGAAUGAUCAAAUGCUCGAGCCGAGGGUAAACCAGUGGGCUUUGCAAAUGCAUCUUCUAAACAGUCAGAACUCUGGAAAUUUCUUUCAUCUCCAGUCUGUCAGCUUUCUAGUUCUGAUCUUCUGAUUUUUUAACCCUUGAUGCUAAGUCACUCUCAGCCACCCAGACAUAGAAGAUCGCUCCAGUGUUGGUGUGUCUAACUUUCACCAAUAACUUAUUCAAUGUCCCUGGUGUUAGUUGUUGCAAUUUUUUCCUUUUUCUUAAACUCCUUGCAGAGUCAGCUCUUUUCCUUCUUACUUUAAAAUUGACCAGAGAAUGCAAAAAGUCAAAAACCAUAAGGCUGCAUUGCUUCAUCUAGUCUAUGCCUAAAAUAAUGUGGUAACAACCUAGCCAAUCUUAGUAGCUGUGUCAAAUAAGCCUGACCUGUCCUUUCGCUAAUUCGGUUGCCCAUUUUAGCCUUAGNNNNN